GCACCAUUACAGUGGAAUCUUUGCUGUGCCAGGAUGAUCAACGCUGGUGAGCUGGGACUAAAGAGUCAGCUGUGAUCAAGAAGAGAGCAGCCCAGUGAGACGCAGAAAUGAAACAGCCAAGGCCUGGGUGACCUGUGAGGUGCUCCCAAAGGGUUCUCUGCACUCUCUGCCAGCAGUGUGCAGUUCCCUCCUUCGCAGUUUCCUCAGCCCUGAGAUCAUCUGUCUGGUGGAUGCGGCCAUCCUGCACAGGAGUUUUCCAGUUACAGCGUCCUGGAGCCGCCACUGCUGCCUCAGGAGACGUUUUCUUCAAUGUCCUUUGCCACUCUAUCUUUAUCCGUGUUCUCCCUGGUCUACUUUAAUGCUACCUGGGAAGAAAAUUACUGAGGCCUGAAGUAACUUUGCAAAACACCCAUCCUAAACUACACAUCAGCCUCCGAGCCUGUGCGCAGAUUUAACCGAAGAUGGAGAAUGGAUGGCUCAACAUUCAUGAACUCAGGCUAUAACUCUGGCCAGUGCCCACUGGGUGGACAGAGUCUAUGCAGAAGCUGUUGCUAACUGUGGGAUGGCACCCUUGCCGAAGGUCUUGUUCUCCUCUUCUAAGCCCUUCUAAACCAUCCCUGUAGCAGCCCACUGUGACGCUGUUGCACGGUCACAGUGACAGCGCCACCUCUGUAGCUAGCUUGCUGAGCUGCGGGUCUGUUGUAGGCAGUCAACAUGGGUUUGCUCCUUGGGAAACCAGAACUGUCACCUUCCCAUUUCCAGGUGGGGAAAUGGGCUCAGAGAGGCGCUGUGGUUUUCCAAGGAUUACCCAGGCCAUGGGGCUGAGGAGUGUAGACUCCUAACUGGCACUAGAAUCUCUCUUUCUCUUCCCUCCCUCUCCUUUCCUGUUUUCUCUUUUCUCAGUUCCUUCCCUCUCCCUCUCCAUUCCUCCCCCAAUCUCUCUCCUUUCUCCUCUUCCCAUCUCUCUUCUCUCCUCCCCAACUCCCUGCUCUCUUUUCUUUUCUUUUCUUUUCUUUUCUUUUCUUUUCUUUUCUUUUCUUUUCUUUUCUUUUCUUUUCUGUUCCUCCCCCUUCCCCUCUCUCCCUCCUCCAUUUCUCGUUUUCCUCCUUCCCUCCCUGUUCCCUUUUGCUUCCUCCACUUAUUAAACAUCGAUGUGCAGGCUCUGCUUCUCCUCACUCACUGUGUUUCAGCUGCACACCCACGGGCAUUUAUCAGUCUCUCUCCAGUCUCGAUACACGCGAAUGUUAUCUGUGGAGGCCUGUAGUUGAUCUACUGACUGACCUGGGGUUUCCACAGUUUCUUCAGCUUUAAGUCAGAUUUUUUUUUGAGGGGGGAUGUAUCCCAGGAGGAUCCAGUUCAGAGGACUCAGAGCAGUGGACAGUGUAGGAAUUUGUGUGUGAAAAGGGAUACGGCUAUGGGUCCUCCCAGGAUUAGAAUCUACCCUUACUUUCUAAACCCAGCCCCUUCAGCCUUGUACCACCUUGCAUGGGGAAAUCAGAUCCUCUGUUUCUCCUCAACAAAGCUGGGUGUUCCCUGCCCCUCCAUUAAAGUGAUGCUGACUUUCCUAAAGUGUUGAACAAGCCAUGGUCACAUCUGCUCCCGAUGACAAGCAGGACCUUGUUCCCUUGCCUCUUCUCAGAGCUCAGCCCUUUCCAUCUUCAGAAUCCUCUUACCUGUCCUGUGGAGAACAGUUGAGCCAUGUUCUCUCCCCCAAUCAUCCCCACCCCAUCCGUUUUAUUUAACUAACAUUUAAUGCUCAAAUUGGGAGAACAGCGCGCACACACACACACACACACACACACACACACACCAAAACCUCCUCUUUGAUGGGCUAUUUUGAGAAUAAAGUUAUGUUCCAUAUCAUCUCAGCAGCAAAUAAUAAAGUCUUUAAUGAAUUCUGUAACUUCUGCCUUUUAGAUCA